AGAGAGUUGAGAAGAAAAGUUGUCUCCCUUUCUUGCUUUCUUCCUAAAGCAGACUCGAGUGAGUGAGACAGAGUGUGAGGGAAAAGAAAGUGUAAGCUUCACCAUCAGCUAACUAUACGAACGAAAACAGAAGGGAGGUCGAGUGAGGAGUUGUGAUAGCAAACUUGAGCAGUCUGCAUUAUCGAUUUGUAAGGGAAAAGAGGUAAGAAUCUACCAUAACCUUCUGCUUAUUUGGCACAAAUAAGUAUAUAUACAAGCUGCAUGUUAGUUUUAGCAAGGCAUAAUGAGUUUUAACCGAGGAGAAAUCUGAUAAAGGAGAAAAAGAUGAGAACUGGACAGAAAUGGAGGGAACCGAGAGUUGUUGUUGAGUUGCAGCCCAUAAAUAAAGAAAAUUUUCCGUAAUAACCUCUUAGUUAUUCAGUACACUUGAAUAUUAAGGUUGCAUGUUGGAUUGUAGCUAAGAAAAACUAAGCUUGGUUGAAGGAAAUAGUUGGAAGUUUCUGCUAUGCUGGCCGAAGGAGGAAAGACAGAAAUGUCCAAGUUUCUUUAUAUAUUUUGGUUCUAAACUCCUACGUUGAGGCUUAGUUCAUUGCAUAAUAUUUUAGUUUUGGCAUGCAUGUUAGAUUUGGGUAUGAAAUGAAGUAGUUAAUGGAGGAAUUUCUUGCUAAAAGAUUGAUUGCUGUCCGAAGCUUUCUAUCAAGGCCGAGAGAGAGAGAGAGAGUUAAACCUCUGAUCAGUUUUUCCUUCAAACUCCACUCUGUAAACUUUCACAUCUGAUAUCUAAAGUUACUGGGUAGUUUAAUACUUGUAUUUGGCAUGAUGAGCUGGAGUUAAAAUUGAAGGAGUUAUGAUAAAAAUGUUGCAUAUUAAACUGCGGCACUGCUGGAAGCUUUAGUUGUCCAAUGUCUUAGCUGAUGUCAGAUUGUUGUGCAUGGCUGUUGGGUUGAAUAAUCUGUUGAAACUAGAUGCUCUUUGUCUUGGUUUAUGCUGGACUGAAUGUACUUUUAAUAGUUAGAGCUUUAAGCAAGUGAAAGAAUAGCGUUUUCGCCGAAAGCUUGAAGUAACGUUACUAGUUUUGGUUGCUGUCCGAGAAAUGAAACAGAUUGUGCUUUUGACCGUCCCAUUUUGGCCUUGAAAACGCAAUAUCUGGAUGUCGAUGUCUUCAUAGGAAAUGUAGGUCUAGGUCUUAGCUUCAAAACACUAUAAAAUUCACCUCAAUCCGAUAAGCGUAACUCCAAUUACGAUCAAAACACCCGAGGAUGGCAAAGCUGCCUUUCCUUUUGUUCCCGAAUGCACUUUGCUAAGAUGCUAACCGUGAGGAACCAACUUUUAACCAACAUUUCCUCUAAUUUUCAACUUUGUAAGCUUUCGUAAAUGAUAGUUACGGUUAGUCUAAGAUUUAAUGGCUUUAUAUAGCUCCACAAGUAGAGUUAAACUAAAGCAAAUGAGAGGAAAACACAUGAUAAUUAAAUUGGCUUCUAAUUACUUAAUACUAUCUUUACAAAUAAUUUAAAGACUAUAAAAUUUGAGGGACUGGUGUACUGGAAUAAAAUUUAAUUUACAAACAACCUAGAGUUUAAUUAAUUAAAAAGGGGACCAAUGGAGUGCUCCUAAGCCAUAAUCUUAGAAUCUUGAGUGGAAAAUGAUUUAAUCCUAGAAUAAAUAUCUUAUAAAUUAUUAACUUGGGAAAACAGGUAUAAUUCUUGAUUAAAAUAAUAAAGUAAAUAAGUUUCAAAAUAAAAGAUAAAUGAAUAUUGAAUAUAUUAUAUUUGUACUUUAAAGUCAAACUUGAUUUUAAUAGUUCAAGUGAUAAAGUAAGAACAAUAAGUGAACAUCUACAAACUAUGUAUUUGAUUUGGAAUUAUUAACUUGUCCAGGAAGUAGCUGUGAACCAGAAAAUCGACUCG
rnacentral:lncRNA from 1 species